GGCGCCAUGCCUUUGUUGGUUAAAGCGCCUGUCUAGUAAACAGGGGAUCCUGAGUUCGAAUCUCAGAGGUGCCU
rnacentral:tRNA from 1 species